rnacentral:ncRNA from 1 species
CGCGACGCACUCCACUUCAUGCCCGCGGGCGGGUUAAAGAAAGGAGAAAACCGCUUUGUUCAGCGGUGCGGCAGUGUGGAGACCUGCCGUAAAGUCCGGAUGAUAUGACCGCUUCCGGGCGAGACGGGGACGCGAAGGCCGAACCGUCAUGAGCAAAACCGAUGGCA